AUCAUGCAGAAGAUGAGGGCAACGCUUGAAUACAGACAGCGCCUUGUCCAUGAUCCAGAGAGGUCCACCACUGUUCUUUCAGUUUUUCCUUGAUUUCUGGAUACUAAAGGAUUGAUUCUUCAAGACUUCACGCUCCUCUUUGGGUCUGAAACUGCUUCCAGACUUUUGGAAAGGUGGCCAACAGCUUUCAAAGCAAUCAUCUUCCAAUCUGAACAGAGAAGGCAGUGAAGCCCAGGAUUCUCCAGAAUGGGACAGUGACAUAUCUUCCUUCCUUCCUUCCUUCUACUCCUGCAUCUUUUAUGACCCCAGGCUUCAGGAAGAAAGAAAACCCAAAAGAUCAGUAUCUCUCAGGCUGUUGACCAAGAUGGCGCCGCGAAUGGCAGCCUCAGUGCUUAGCUCUCAAGUGCUCGUAUUGUUUUUGUUAGUUUUUCCUG